AAUGUGAAAUCCCCGGGCUUAACCUGGGAACUGCGUUUGAAACUACAAGGCUAGAGUGUGGCAGAGGGGGGUGGAAUUCCGCGUGUAGCAGUGAAAUGCGUAGAGAUGUGGAGGAACACCGAUGGCGAAGGCAGCCCCCUGGGUCAACACUGACGCUCAGGCACGAAAGCAUGGGGAGCAAACAGGAUUAGAUACCCUGGUAGUCCAUGCCCUAAACGAUGUCAACUAGUUGUCGGGCCUUAACGGGCUUGGUAACGUAGCUAACGCGUGAAGUUGACCGCCUGGGGAGUACGAUCGCAAGAUUAAAACUCAAAGGAAUUGACGGGGACCCGCACAAGCGGUGGAUUAUGUGGAUUAAUUCGAUGCAACGCGAAAAACCUUACCUAGCCUUGACAUGUACCGAAGGGUGCCGCGAGGUGAGCGUGGCCCGU
rnacentral:rRNA from 1 species